rnacentral:lncRNA from 1 species
AGCAUUGACUAGAACCGGGUUGCGCUGGCGACCUGAAGCCAAGCGGAAGUUGGGCGUCCUGAGAUUCCCGAGAAAUUCCAGUCGCUGGAAACCAGCCGCGCGCCGUUCCCAUCCAUUACCAGGACUCCGGAAGUCGUUAGUGCUGGCAAGCCGAAGCCAACCGGAAGUUGGGAAUCGUGAGUCUCAGAAGCCCCAUUCCCGUCUCUGUAGGGGAAGCCAGAAUGGGACCGGAACUCGGUAAUGCUGGCGACCUGAAGCCAAGCGGAAGUAGGGAGCACUGGAACUUGAAAGCGAAUUUCCCGACUCUAUUUCCCCUCGAUCCCCGAUGGCAGACCGGAAGUCUGUAGUGCUGGCGAGCUGAAGCCAACCGGAAGUCGGGCGUGCGAAACUCCAGUCACGGAACAGCGUGUGUUGCCCACCCCGCGGAAACCGGAAGUCGAUAGUCCUGGCGAGCUGAAGCCAACCGGAAGUCUGGUGUGCUGUGCCUCACGCGGGGCGCUGGCGUCACACAGCGAGGGCGGCACCGCGUCCCAGGGCGGUGUUCUGCAGACCGGAAGCGGAAGCGCGUCACAGAGCGGGUCCGUCCCUUGGGCGGCAGCGUCGGGGAUGCGGGCGAUGCGUUCUGAGCUUGAUCCAGGCGGCGGUGGAGCCCGCGGGCCAGCGGAAGUGGCGGGGCCAUGGGCGGGACCUGCGGUAAUUGCCGUGUGUGGCUCAGGGAAACCACCAGGACAGCAGAGGUUCUGGGCGCGCGCCAUUCCUGGAAUUGAUGAGAUGUCUCUGGUCCUAAUAAACUGAGAGGCCAAUGGUUAAAAAUCAAGCAGGUGGGAAGUCUGACUCCUCACCAGGGAAGAGGGAAGAGUUGUAAAGUUUCACAGAAGAUUAUUGGACUGCCAAAUAUGCAAGUCCUGCUGGAUCAACCACGAAUAAUGAUCCAACAAGACAUCCGGAGCUAGAAGCUGGUACAAACAGGAGAAAUUCAAUAACAAGCCCUUUUGUGAAACCAAAUCCAGGGAUAGCAAUGUGGUUGGGCUGUGUGUCUAUGAGGUGCAUUUUUCUUAGAACGCCUAGAGGAAGAGGAGCCUCAAAACACAUCCCAACCAGUGGAAUUCACUCGUGGGCACAGAUUCCUGAAGUCUUUGCUCCCAUUGAGUCAAUAUUCACUCUGCCACUAAGACAGAUUAAUUCAGCCCGUUCAGUGUUUUACAGUCACAAGAGCAGAGCUCACCAGGUGUGUCAGUUACUGAUGCAUCCUGAAGUGUUGAAACUAGGGAAGUUCCAGAUUUGCUGUCUAAUCUUUAGGAAGUGGUUGGCCUGGUGAGUGAGUGUUGGACCUUUGAAGCUCCUUCACCUCAUCUGGUGAUCUGUUGUCAAGUGGACCCAGUAUCAGCACCUAAGGCAACAGCGCAGGGCAUUCCAGGAACAAUCCAGGUUCCAAAGUGGCCUUAUUCGCAGGAAUCAUAUCAGGAUGCAUCAUCUUCAUCGUCAUCAUCAUCGCCUUGGUGGUACUGCUGCUCAAGUACCGCAGCAGGCACCGCAAACACUCUCCACAACACAGGACCACACCCAAGCGAGGUGGCAACAACUCUGGCUGGGAACCCAGUGAUGUUCUCAUACCGCUAAAGAUUGCAGACAGUGUCUCCCACCCACACUAUGAGAAGGUCAGCGGAGACUAUGGGCACCCAGUGUACAUCAUGCAGGAGGUGCCCCCACAGAAUCCUGCCAACAUUUACUACAAGGUCUGAGGCCUGGGACCUUCGCCUCCCAAGGGAACUCUCACCUUGUGGGCGCAGGGACUGUCUGAGCCUGGCUCUGGGGUCGGAAUGACUCCUGGAAGAUCCUGGAGCUGGACCGUUUUGUAGGCUGUAGCUUUUAAGCCUUGGGGAACGACUGACUCUCCCCAGAAGCUGAAAGACUGCUAAGAGAUCCCCACUUGGACUGCUGUGUACCUGUGUGGACCUCUAUGCUAUGCUCCCAGCCAGGCACUCAGGCCUCUGCAGAUCCCGGGGAGGACAUGGUGGGCUAUGGGUGAUGCAGCAGUACCUUAGGAGAAAGUUGUACCUCUGCCUCUGUGUUUCCUGCCAUGCACACUGGACUUGUCACUCAGACCUCGGGUAACCUCAGUAAGGUUUUCAAAGAUCCCUAGCAUUUAGUCUUCACUCCUUCUGUUGCCAGGGCUCUGCAACACCUCCCCAGACCCCUCACUCCACAUCCUGUAUCAUUAAGGGACACUCACCAUGGAGCCUGGCCCCACCCUUUACACUAAGAUGAAAUAAAAUGUGUAUUAGUUACAGAAUUCCGCUUUCCUGGAAAUUCCUUGACUUGGUUUGCUGGGAAAAGCCUGGGAGAUGUGGCCAAGUGAGGAACAUGCUGGCUAUCACCGCAGGGGGAGCAUAGUGGGGAAAGCAAGAAGGAAACAAUAGAUAGUGCUUUGGUUUGCUGAGAGGAACCAGGAAGGUGGGAGACUACAGACUUUGGUGAGUGGUGGUGAGCUCACUAUCACAGCUAUGCAACUAGGAAUCAAAGCCCCUUUCCUGAAGUGGAACAAAGGGGCCGUUGUUAUGAAAGGACCAGCCAGAGUUCAGGGGGAAAGGACAGACCUCUGGGGCAGGACUGUUGAGGUACUGGCAAUAAAAAAGCACAGCCCUGGAGCUGCAGGAGAUUCAGUCUGCAUUGGGAGAUGGUUUAAGCAGACUCAGCUGCUGUAUUACCACAUUUUAAUCACCACAGGGAAAAUCAUGUAGGAGAACAGCAGAGAGCCAAAUCUGACCUAGAAGUUGAAAAGCCAAAGGUCAAAAUGGCUGUAAGUCCAUCACCACUAAGGAUAUUGGGAAAUUUUCAUUAGGAAAGGUUGGUCAGAUUCACCCAGUCCCCAUGAGUGCCCCUCCCCCUCCCCGAUUGAGCCUUACACUUUGGUUUUUGGUUGAUGGCUGUGCUGUCUGGGCUCUGAGGCUCUACCCGGGCUCCAUGUCAAAGCAAAGCACAUAUGGCCCACCCCUAAGAGUCCUUAAGAUGGAGGUAAAGUUAUGAUGUCAAGGGGAAGGAGGGAGAUAGGACAUAGUUAUAAUAGGUGCAUAGAACACAAGGGACAUAAAAUGAAAGAUUUUUAGUAAUAUGUAUUUUAAGAUAAC